rnacentral:rRNA from 1 species
AUGCUACGGUCCCGACUGUUCUAUAUUUGCUCCAUUAUCUUCGCAUUCUAUUUUGCCCAUGUGCAACCGACGACUGAACAGAUCACGGCACCAUGGGAAGUCGAUGCUUUGAGAGCUAUCAGAGGCAGCUUGAGUGAUCCACUGGGUCGUCUCGAUAACUGGAACCGUGGAGAUCCAUGCGUCGGAAAUUGGUCCCGUGUUAUCUGUUACAACGUAACAGCAAGCGAUGGAUACUUUCAUGUGCGGCAACUGGAGCUUCUACGGUUAAAUUUAUCUAGGACUUUGGCCCCUGAGCUUGGCCAGCUGUCUCGCAUGAAAAUAAUGGAUUUUAUGUGGAACUCAAUUGGUGGGAGCAUUCCUAAGGAGGUUGGCAACAUUACUUCUCUGGAACUAUUGCUCUUAAAUGGGAACCAGUUGACUGGUCCUUUACCAGAGGAAAUUGGCUUCCUUCCUAAUUUGAAUAGGAUUCAGAUUGAUCAGAACCAUAUAUCAGGAUCCAUACCUAAAUCAUUCGCUAACCUGAACAAAACCGAGCACUUUCACAUGAACAAUAAUUCGUUGAGUGGUCAAAUUCCACCUGAACUGUCCAGAUUACCUUCACUUGUUCAUCUAUUGUUGGAUAACAACAACUUAUCGGGCUAUCUUCCUCCAGAAUUAUCACAGCUACCAAAACUGCUCAUUGUCCAGCUAGACAAUAACAACUUCUCAGGAAGUUCAAUUCCUUCAUCUUAUGGCAAUAUCACAACACUUCUGAAAUUGAGUUUGAGAAACUGCAGCUUGGAAGGCCCCGCUCUUGAUGCCAGUGGAAUACCGCAACUUGGCUACUUGGAUAUUAGUUGGAAUCAGUUGACGGGUCGUAUACCAUCUGGCAAACUAGCGAGCAACAUAACUACAAUAGAUCUUUCCCACAAUCGUCUUAACGGUUCUAUUCCUGGAAGUUUCUCCGGCCUUCCUAAUCUCCAAAGAUUGUCAAUGGAUAAUAAUAACUUGGAUGGUUCUGUUCCAUCUGAUGUCUGGCAAAAUAUUGAUUUCAGUGGAAAUAGAAGCCUGAUAUUGGAUUUCCAUAACAACGCUCUCACGAAUCUAUCGAAUCCUCUUACACACCCUGCGAAUGUUACCAUCCUGUUAUCUGGAAACCCCAUAUGCACAUCGCAAAAUCAACUGAAUAUAUCUCAGUAUUGUCAAUCAAUUUCAGUUGUUGUUCCUGGAGGUUCCACAAAUAACAAUACACUUUGUCCACCAUGCUCAACCGACCUUCCUUACGAAAACAUACUAAGGUCACCAAUCUCAUGCUUAUGUGCUAUUCCACUUUACGUUGAUUACCGGCUGAAGAGUCCAGGAUUCUGGGAUUUUGUUCCGUACGAAGCUGAAUUUCAAUACUACUUGUCAUCUGGUCUUUCAUUGUCCUCGUAUCAAUUGGAAGUCUCUACUUUUAUGUGGGAAGAAGGCCCGAGGUUGAAGAUGAACCUGAAGCUUUUCCCAAACAACACUGCGUUGUUUAACUCUGGUGAAGUGCUGAGACUGAGAGACAUGUUCACAGGGUGGCUCAUCACGGACUCGGAUAUAUUUGGGCCCUAUGAGCUUAUCGACUUCAUCCCAGGGUGGUACGAAAAUGCGAUAAGAAUUCAGAUGAAAAUUGAGGGCGUAAAAGACCUCACUUUUGAAGAAUUAUCAAAGUGUACAAGCAAUUUUAGUGACUCGGCACUAAUUGGUCAAGGAGGGUACGGAAAAGUAUACAGGGGGGUUCUGGUUGAUGGAACAGGAGCUGCAGUAAAACGUACACAACAGGGAUCUCUUCAGGGUUCAGAGGAGUUCUUCACAGAGAUAGAAUUGUUGUCCAGGCUGCACCACCGAAACCUGGUUUCUUUGGUUGGUUAUUGCGACGAAGAUAAUGAGCAGAUGCUGGUGUAUGAGUAUAUGCCAAAUGGUACUCUACGUGAUCAUCUUUCAGCUAAAGCUAAAGAAGCUCUAAGUUUUCCCAUGAGGUUACGAAUUGCACUGGGAUCAUCACGAGGGAUCCUCUAUUUGCACACGGAAGCUGACCCUCCGAUAUAUCAUCGUGACAUCAAGACUAGCAACAUUUUAUUGGACUCGAAGUUUGUAGCAAAGGUUGCUGAUUUUGGUCUCUCGAGGCUUGCCCCACUGCCGGAAAUGGAGGGGGUUGCCCCUGGUCAUGUGUCCACUGUCGUAAAGGGUACCCCGGGUUAUCUUGAUCCGGAGUAUUUCCUCACGCAUAAUCUGACGGACAAGAGCGACGUGUACAGCCUCGGUGUUGUUUUUCUGGAACUGCUGACAGGGAUGCAGCCCAUUUCUCAUGGGAAAAACCUGGUCAGAGAGGUUGUGACGGCGAACCAGUCAGGGAUGAUACUGCCGGUGGUUGACACGCGGAUGGGACCGUGCCCAUGGGAGUGCGUGGAGAGGUUCGCGGCACUGGGGCUGCGGUGCUGCCGGGACGAGACGGAUGCGAGGCCGUCCAUGACGGAGGUGGUGCGGGAGCUGGAGAUGAUAUGGCAGAUGGCGCUAGAGACAGAUAGCGUGCCGUUGGAGUUGGAGUCGGAGUCGGUGUCCAUGGACCCCUGCCGCACAGGCACGCAGCUGUCGUCGGGCGUCGUCCGCCGGGGGGUCGAUGAUGGCCUACCAGUACAUGUCGUCGCCGGACGUCUCCGGCAGCAACCUGCUCAGCGGCGUGGUGCCCAGCACCAACCCUCGCUGAGAAAAUGUGAGAGCCUAAUUAGUUGGUGA